CAUGCAAGUCGAGCGACGGUUUCCUUCGGGAAAUACGGAGCGGCGAACGGGUGAGUAACACGUGAACAACCUGUCCCUUUGUUCCGGAUAAUUGGGAGAAAUCCCUUGUAAUACGGGCGAGGACGGUCCUUUGGCAUCAUCGGAUCGGGAAACACGAAAGUGGCAUGGGGAGGGGUUCGCGACCUAUCAGGUAGUUGGUGUGGUAACGGCACACCAAGCCAACGACGGGUAGCUGGUCUGAGAGGAUGGUCAGCCACAUUGGAACUGAGACACUGUCCAGACUCCUACGGGAGGCUACAGUCGAGAAUCUUGGGCAAUGCACGAAAGUGUGACCCAGCGACGCCGCGUGAAGGAUGAAGGCCCUCUGGGUCGUAAACUUCUUUUAAGGGGAAAGAAUGGGCUUCGGCCUUUGACGGUACCCUUUGAAUAAGCCACGGCUAACUACGUGCCAGCAGCCGCGGUAAUACGUAGGUGGCGAGCGUUGUCCGGAUUUACUGGGCGUAAAGGGCGCGCAGGCGGUCUGUUUAGUCUAGGGUGAAAGCUCCCGGCUUAACUGGGAGAGGUCCUUGGAUACUGGCAGACUCGAGGGAUGCAGAGGAAAGUGGAAUUCCCGGUGUAGUGGUGAUAUGCGUAGAUAUCGGGAGGAACACCAGUGGCGAANGCGGCUUUCUGGGCAUCACCUGACGCUGA
rnacentral:rRNA from 1 species